rnacentral:rRNA from 1 species
AUUGAACGCUGGCGGCAGGCUUAACACAUGCAAGUCGAGCGGAGUGAUGGUGCUUGCACUAUCACUUAGCGGCGGACGGGUGAGUAAUGAUUAGGAAUCUGCCUAUUAGUGGGGGACAACAUCUCGAAAGGGAUGCUAAUACCGCAUACGUCCUACGGGAGAAGGCAGGGGAUCACUUGUGACCUUGCGCUAAUAGAUGAGCCUAAGUCGGAUUAGCUAGUUGGUGGGGUAAAGGCCUACCAAGGCGACGAUCUGUAGCGGGUCUGAGAGGAUGAUCCGCCACACUGGGACUGAGACACGGCCCAGACUCCUACGGGAGGCAGCAGUGGGGAAUAUUGGACAAUGGGGGGAACCCUGAUCCAGCCAUGCCGCGUGUGUGAAGAAGGCCUUAUGGUUGUAAAGCACUUUAAGCGAGGAGGAGGCUCUUUUGGUUAAUACCCAAGAUGAGUGGACGUUACUCGCAGAAUAAGCACCGGCUAACUCUGUGCCAGCCGCCGCCGUAACAC